rnacentral:rRNA from 1 species
GAAGAACGCUGGCGGCGUGCCUAAUACAUGCAAGUCGAGCGAAUGGAUUAAGAGCUUGCUCUUAUGAAGUUAGCGGCGGACGGGUGAGUAACACGUGGGUAACCUGCCCAUAAGACUGGGAUAACUCCGGGAAACCGGGGCUAAUACCGGAUAACAUUUUGAACCGCAUGGUUCGAAAUUGAAAGGCGGCUUCGGCUGUCACUUAUGGAUGGACCCGCGUCGCAUUAGCUAGUUGGUGAGGUAACGGCUCACCAAGGCAACGAUGCGUAGCCGACCUGGGCGGGUGAUCGGCCACACUGGGACUGAGACACGGCCCAGACUCCUACGGGAGGAAGCAGUAGGGAAUCUUCCGCAAUGGACGAAAGUCUGACGGAGCAACGCCGCGUGAGUGAUGAAGGCUUUCGGGUCGUAAAACUCUGUUGUUAGGGAAGAACAAGUGCUAGUUGAAUAAGCUGGCACCUUGACGGUACCUGACCAGAAAGCCACGGCUAACUACGUGCCAGCAGCCGCAGUAA